GAUCACGCCACUGCACUCCAACCUGGGCAGCAGAGUGAGACUCCAUGUCAAAAAAAAAAAAAAAAGAAACUGGGAGCUGGGGCCGCGUCAGUGGCAGGUGAGGUGGCAGCGAGGGGAGAGAGGGGUCAUCCGGGGAGGCUGGAGGCCCUGGGUCUGCUGAGUGCACCACAGCUGCGGACAGAAGGGAGUUGGGAGAGCUUGCAAGUGCUGGGCAUGCGGGGGACACUUGCCACGUGGUGCUGCUGACCCCCGGUGGGCUGCUGACCCCCGGCGGGCUGCUGCCCUGCUCUGAGCAGCCCCUUGUCUCUCUGAUGGAGACUGUUCUGCCCCCUGUAGUCUGCUGUGAAGGGAUAAGUGGGACAGGGAACAGGUACAGGUCUUGGAAACUGUAGAGUCCUGUGUCCAGUGUAGUGAAGGGCAGGUGGAAAGGAGCAAACAUAGAGAGAUGGUGGAGGGUCUUGAAGGUGGUUUUUGAGCAGGGCAGUGACACAGUCUGUUCAUCCAGAUAACCUUUCAGAGCAGACCCAGGAGCUGUGCUGCCUGUAAAGCAGAGGUACUCGGUGAGGCUGGGGAGGGCGCAGGUGGCCCACAUGGGGCCUCCUGGAGCCCGCAAGGCAUUCAGUUUUAAAGGUCUGCUGGCAUGGUGGCAUAUGCCUAUGGUUCCAGCUGCUUGGGAGGCUGGGACAGGAGUUCCAGGCAGCAGUGAGCCAUGAUUGCACCACUGCACUCCAGCCUGGGCAACAGGAGCAAAACUCCAUCUCAAAGAAAAAGAGUCUGACAUCCCCAAGUACUGCAGAGGAAGAGGCUACACGGCACUCAUACACAGCUGGUGGAAAUGUCAGUUUCACCUCCACUUCUGGAAAGCGCCCCUCUUGGGGACACAGGGCCUGUCGGAUUCACGUCUGUGUCUCCAGGAUGUCUCACAGGGCCUGGCACGUGGUAGGUAC
rnacentral:lncRNA from 10 species